UUUGCCAAGGGCAGAGCCUCUCGGUCGAUAGGCUGAGUGGCAGGAAGCUCCGGUAGGCCAAUGGCCUUGCGGUUUCGGUUGGCCACAUCACGAGUAAACUCUAGGCCACCAACGGACAUCAUUCGCUGGAUCGCCUUGGAGUAAACAUCCAAGUCAAUCUCGUCGAGGUCGCCGAACUCGAAGGUGGGGAACUCUUCAUCGGGUCGAUAUCCGUUUAACCGGAACAGUUGAGGUACCAGGUCGUUGUUCAGCACGUCCCGGAUCAUCUGCAAACGUGCUUCAAUGGCCAUAGCCAUCAGGUUGGUCUUAGCACCAGCCAGGCUGUAGGAGCCAACGUUGUCCUGGCCCAUCUUCAGAACAUCUGCGAACAGGACCUGGAGAAUCUUGUUAUCCCAACGCUUGAUGAUUGCGUCGGUAUCGUACAUCUUACCGCCCUGGCUGCUAGUCAGCUCGAACUUGAACAGCGGGAGGCGAGCUUCCGGGUCAAACUGCUGCGGAAGAAUGAGCGACGUUUGCUCAUUCAUGGUGAUGUUCCGCAUGGCGUUCUUGUAAUACUCGUAGAUCGCCUUCUCUUCGUCGGAAGCGUCCGGGGACAUGUACCGAGGCGGGAUGUACAGGGUAGGCAUACCAUUCAUAUCUCUGGUAAUGCCUACGGCUUCCUGCUCUUCCAGGGCAGUCCGGUAACUCCAGGCGAAGUAUACGUUUUUCAGAGGGCUAUUGCCCUCGGGGUUGUCACGGCGAGGGUCGAUACGGAAGUUCAGGAACUUCUCUUUCGGGAUGAAAAUCUCAUCACCACCGUUGGGCAGGUUCUUCAGAUAGGU
rnacentral:antisense_RNA from 1 species